rnacentral:rRNA from 1 species
AUUGAACGCUGGCGGCAUGCUUUACACAUGCAAGUCGAACGGUAACAGGGAGCUUGCUCCGCUGACGAGUGGCGAACGGGUGAGUAAUAUAUCGGAACGUACCCAAGAGUGGGGGAUAACGUAGCGAAAGUUACGCUAAUACCGCAUACGAUCUAAGGAUGAAAGCAGGGGACCUUCGGGCCUUGUGCUCCUGGAGCGGC